rnacentral:rRNA from 1 species
UACAGAGGGGGCAAGCGUUGUUCGGAAUUACUGGGCGUAAAGGGCGCGUAGGCGGCCCGCUAAGUCGAACGUGAAAUCCCCGAGCUCAACUCGGGAACUGCGUCCGAUACUGGCGGGCUUGAAUCCGGGAGAGGGAUGCGGAAUUCCCGGUGUAGCGGUGAAAUGCGUAGAUAUCUGGAGGAACACCGGUGGCGAAGGCGGCAUCCUGGACCGGCAUUGACGCUGAGGCGCGAAAGCUAGGGGAGCAAACGGG